GACGAACGCUGGCGGCGUGCUUAACACAUGCAAGUCGAACGGAAAGGCCCUGCUUUUGUGGGGUUCUCGAGUGGCGAACGGGUGAGUAACACGUGAGUAACCUGCCCUUGACUUUGGUAUAACUUCAGGAAACUGGGGCUAAUACCGGAUAGGAGCUCCUGCUGCAUGGUGGUGGUUGGAAAGUUUCGGCGGUUGGGGAUGGACUCGCGGCUUAUCAGCUUGUUGGUGGGGUAGUGGCUUACCAAGGCUUUGACGGGUAGCCGGCCUGAGAGGGUGACCGGCCACAUUGGGCCUGAGGUACGGCCCAGACUCCUACGGGAGGCAGCAGGGGGGAAUAUGGAACAAUGGGCGGAAGCCUGAUGCGGCAACGCCGCGUGCGGAAUGACGGCCUUCGGGUUGUAAACCGCUUUCGCCUGUGACGAGGCGUUAGUGACGGUAAUGAGUAAAGAAGCACCGGCUAACUACGUG
rnacentral:rRNA from 1 species